UACGGAGGGUGCGAGCGUUAAUCGGAAUUACUGGGCGUAAAGCGCGCGUAGGCGGUUUGUUAAGUCGGACGUGAAAGCCCCGGGCUCAACCUGGGAACUGCACCCGAUACUGGCCGACUUGAGUGCGAGAGAGGGAGGUAGAAUUCCAUGUGUAGCGGUGAAAUGCGUAGAUAUAUGGAGGAAUACCGGUGGCGAAGGCGGCCUCCUGGCUCGACACUGACGCUGAGGUGCGAAAGCGUGGGUAGCAAACAGC
rnacentral:rRNA from 1 species